AACGAACGCUGGCGGCGUGCCUAACACAUGCAAGUCGAGCGGGAAAGCCCGCAAGGGUGAGUACAGCGGCGCACGGGUGCGUAACACGUGGGUAAUCUGCCCAGAAGCCCGGAAUAACCUUCCGAAAGGAAAGCUAAUACCGGAUGAGACCACGGGAACCUCGGUUUCCGCGGGAAAAGGUGGCAUCUGCAUGCAAGCUAUCACUUCUCGAGGAGCCCGCGGCCCAUCAGCUCGUUGGCGGGGUAAUGGCCCGCCAAGGCUACGACGGGUAGCUGGUCGGAGAGGACGGUCAGCCACACUGGAACUGAGACACGGUCCAGACUCCUACGGGAGGCAGCAGUGGGGAAUCUUGCGCAAUGGGCGAAAGCCUGACGCAGCAACGCCGCGUGUGUGAUGAAGGUCUUCGGAUCGUAAAGCACUGUCGGGAGGGACGAAUAAGGGCCGGGUGAACAAUCCGGUUCGAUGACGGUACCUCCAAAGGAAGCACCGGCUAACUCUGUGCCAGCCGCCGCCGUAAAAC
rnacentral:rRNA from 1 species